rnacentral:piRNA from 1 species
UAUUUCUGUAACCACGAAAGU